UUUUUUCAGAAAAUUGGGUCGUGACGGUGUAUGUUAUUAAAUAAAAUACAUUACACAGUCUCUCUUCUUUUCUCUUACGGCAGUUGGGGGGACUUUGAAACCCUAGAAGAAUCUAAUUACAGACCUAAGGUUGUGGAUGAGCAAAAAGCUGUUUUUUUGAUGCCCUUUAGUUUGCGAAUUGUUACGUAAGUUUCUGUUUUUGUAUAAGGAAAAUGAUAGGUUCCAUUUUGCCCUUACCGGCUCCUCCUUCUGAUGGAGACCUUGGGCCUCUUCCAGAAUCCCAAGUGACUGAACCUAAUAACGAUGAGAAACAAUUGAAUGAGGAGCAGAACAAAGCCAACUCCGUUGCAACACAUACUAGGGCUAUUGGUAUCAUUUAUCCUCCUCAAGACAUCAGAAAUAUUGUUGACAAAACUUCCCAAUUCGUGGCAAAGAAUGGACCGGAGUUUGAGAAAAGGAUCAUAGCUAAUAAUACCGGAAAUGCAAAGUUCAGCUUUUUGAUUUCCUCAGAUCCCUACCAUGCAUAUUAUCAGCAUCGAUUGUCUGAGUUCCGUGCCCAGAAUCAGUCUUCUGGACAGCAACCUUCUUUGCAGCUUGAAGAUUCUGCAACACCUGAGUCAGCCCCACCAGCUCCAGCUGCAGAUGGUGAAACAGGAGCACCAAAGCUGGAUCCCUCUGCUCAGUUUAAAUCGGUGCUCAAAGUGCCUGAACCACCAGAAAAACCCGAAGCUGAGCAGUAUACUGUUCGGCUUCCUGAAGGGAUUACUGGGGAAGAGUUGGAUAUUAUAAAGCUCACAGCCCAGUUUGUAGCUCGAAAUGGGAAAUCAUUUUUGUUAGGAUUGACAAACAGGGAAACGAAUAACCCCCAGUUCCAUUUUUUAAAACCUAACCAUAGUAUGUUUACACUUUUCACUUCUCUGGCUGAUGCUUACUCAAAGGUGUUGAUGCCUCCGACGGGGUUGACAGAGAAGCUUAAGAAAAGUAUUGCAGACAUGACAACGGUGCUUGAACGGUGUGUGCAUCGGCUGGAGUGGGAGCGUUCACAAGAGCAGGCAAGGCAGAAGGAAGAAGAUGAGAUUGAGCUGGAAAGGAUGCAAAUGGCUAUGAUUGAUUGGCAUGAUUUUGUUGUGGUUGAAUCAAUAGACUUUGCAGAUGAUGAGGAUGAGGAUUUACCUCCUCCAAUGACCCUUGAGGAGGUUAUAAGGAGAAGCAAGGUCACAGAUAUGGAAGAAGAUAUUGUUGAGCCUGGUAAGGAGGUGGAAAUGGAAAUGGAUGUAGAAGAGAUGCAGCUUGUUGAAGAGGGCUUGAGGACAGCCAGAAUUGAAGAGAAUGGUGUUGAAAAGAAGAAUGAGAAUAAGGUGACAGAUGAUCCAGAUCCACCAAUGAGAAUUGUGAAGAACUGGAAGAGACCUGAAGACAGGAUCCCUGCUGAAAGAGACCCAACAAAGUACGUCAUUUCACCAAUCACUGGAGAGCUUAUCCCUAUCAAUGAGAUGUCUGAACACAUGAGGAUUUCUCUCAUUGAUCCAAAAUACAAAGAGCAAAAAGAACGGAUGUUUGCCAAGAUUCGAGAGACUACUCUCGCCCAGGAUGAUGAAAUCUCAAGAAACAUUGUGGGCCUUGCACGAACCCGUCCUGAUAUUUUUGGUACCACAGAGGAAGAAGUUUCUAACGCUGUCAAGGCUGAGAUUGAAAAAAAGAAAGAUGAGCAACCAAAGCAGGUCAUAUGGGAUGGUCACACUGGAAGCAUUGGCCGCACAGCAAAUCAAGCCAUGUCACAGAAUAUCAACGGAGAGGAUCAGAAUGAUGUUCUUAACAAUGAUGCAAGGAAUCUUCCUGGUCCUGCAGCUCCUCCUCCAAGACCUGGUGUGCCGUCUGUUCGCCCUCUACCCCCACCACCAGGUCUUGCCUUGAAUCUACCUCGUGUUCCUCCAAAUACAGCGCAGUAUUCUGCUCCAUCUAGCGGUGGCCUCCCUGUACCUCCACCGAGGCCAUCAGUUGUCCAAUAUCAAUCAGUUCGACCACCUGGACCACCAAUGCCCAUGAGUUCAGGACAGCAAUCCCUUUUGGUGAAUCGGCCACCUCCUAUGCCACCAUCAAUGUCUAUGAAUCCAUCUGUACCACCUCCACCUGGUUCGCAGUUUACACCCAUGCAAGUUCCCCGAUCUUAUAUGCCUCUUCCUGUUCCUCCACCUACAAUGCAAAUGAUGCCACCACCACCUUUGCCUCAGGGGAUGCCCCCGCCACCACCACCUGAGGAAGCUCCUCCACCGCUUCCAGAAGAACCUGAGCCAAAGCGGCAGAAGCUUGACGAUUCUAUGCUUAUUUCAGAAGAUCAGUUUCUGGCACAGCAUCCGGGACCUGUUCGCAUCACAGUAUCUGUCCCCAAUGUUGAUGAAGGUAAUCUGAAGGGACAACUUUUGGAGAUUACGGUGCAGUCCUUAUCUGAAACUGUUGGGAGUCUGAAAGAAAAAAUUUCUGGGGAGAUCCAGCUUCCUGCAAACAAACAGAAAUUGAGUGGAAAGCCUGGUUUUCUCAAGGACAAUAUGUCGCUUGCGUAUUAUAAUGUUGGAGCAGGAGAAGCACUUAGUCUUUCAUUAAGAGAGCGUGGUGGAAGAAAGAGAUGAGCAGAUUAUUUGACCAGGCUGAUUAAGGAUAGAGGCUUAUAGCUACUUGUUGGGACUCUUAAAUGGUCUGUGCAACCAGUUAGAUGUGUCUUCUUUAAGCAUCUAAGCCAGCAUGGACUGGAACCACAGGGUUUGAUUACCAUGUUAAAGGAACAAGCAAGUUUUUAUAUCUUUGUAUUUUCUCUAGGAUUAUUUGAGCAGGCAGGGGUUACAUAGCUUCCCUAAGGUUAUGCUUGAGAUUGGAUUUGAUAUUAAAAGUUUACAGCUAGUAUAGAAAUGCAGAAUGCCCUAAUCUGUUGAAAAGAGUCGUCAUUAACUGUUCAGUUAUGGUAAUUUGGUGCUGGCAUCACAAUACUGUAGAGAAUUUGGUUGGCUGACGUACUAGUCCAAAAUAUUUGCUCAACACUGGCCUUCACUAUGGGGUGUCAACAUGGUCCAUGCGUAAUUACGAGUCGACUCAGUAUGUCGAUCCAGAGUUGAAGACUCCAGUCCUGUUGUGCGGAUAUAAAUUGUCUCUAGUACUUGUGCACACUAGGAAUUUGUAUGUAGUAAAAGCCACUGUUAGCUGUUUCAGAAGGCAUUGAGUUGCCUGUAUAAAGUCUGCCUCAUUUCCCAAUAUCAAUUGGUUGUACUUGUUGAGAGCAUCACUUAUGCUGCCAAUUGCCAAUUAAGUUGUGUAGCCAACAAUGUGGGUUGUUUUCAUGCCUUAAUUAGAUGUUUCAAAGAUGAGUCUCCCUUCACUAUGGGGUGUCAACAUGGUCCAUGCGUAAUUACGAGUCGACUCAGUAUGUUGAUCCAGAGUUGAAGACUCCAGUCCUGUUGUGAGGAGUUAAAUUGUGUCUCUAGUACUAGUGCACACUAGGAAUAUGUAUGUAGUAAAAGCCACUGUUAGCUGUUUCAGAAGGCAUUGAGUUGCCUGUAUAAAGUCUGCCUCAUUUCCCAAUAUCAAUUGGUUGUACUUGUUGAGAGCAUCACUUAUGCUGCCAAUUGCCAAUUAAGUUGUGUAGCCAACAAUGUGGGUUGUUUUCAUGCCUUAAUUAGAUGUUUCAAAGAUGAGUCUCCCAAAAGCAAGCGUCCCUUCUGCUUUUGACGUGCAAUGCCGGAUAGAAAGGUUCUGGAAAACUGUAACGCCCAUGUCUCAGGACAAUGAAAUGUUUGUCUGAUCAAACCAAAACCACAAUGCUUGACCUAGUUGCAACUUACAAGAAUGAAUGGUAUAUGCUCAG